UCCCGACGCUCCAAGUCGCAGCCACAAUUAUUGGGUCUAAAACAUUCGUAGCUCGCUUUGUAAGUUCUUUGUGAAAUCUGACAUCUUAAGUGUCAGGCGCGCAAGGAAUACUGCAAAGCUAGGGACUGGAGGAAGUAAGGAGUACGGCCGAGGUAGUAGUAAAAUAUGUUAAUCUUGGUUGGACUAACAACAGCGAAGGCACCUUACUAAUACAGAUCCGACAGUGAGGAAUGAAGGCUAGGGUCGCGAAACG
rnacentral:rRNA from 1 species